GAUUUUUUAGCACACCAGCAGGGUCGGGUCGGGCUUGACAUAUUGGGACUUUUCAACAGAUGGGUUGGACUUGGGCUUCAAAGUAUGCCUGAUGGCAGGGCCUAUGCCUCAAUUUUCUGCCAUGGGCUUUUUAGGGCCCGGCCCGGCCCAACCAAUGGCCAGAUAUGCCAUCAAUCCACCGCACGAGAUUUUGGAGAGUGCUUGUAGACUUGAUCACAGCAUGGCAACAAUGCCGUGCAUGUUUCCUCAGUCCAUGUGAGAAACAUCAGUUAAAUCCUUAGUAGAUUCCCGUUUCCUCGGUCCAUGUGAGGAACAUCAGUUAAAUCCUUAGUAGAUUCCCGCGUUGGCUAAUGAAUCAAAGUAGCAGCAAAAAGCACUGGCCUUCCUCAGUUUGGUCUUGAACCGGAGUUUUAGGUACCUAAAACACUGGCCUUACUCGGUUUUUUAGGUACCUGUCCUCGAUACGGAGCUGAUACUUAACUUGAUGGGAUGCAGCGGGAAGACGUCGGAUUCUGUGCUAGGUAUGUGGGGGUGGAUACGCGUCGCCUGCAGACCGUCUGCAAGCAAGACGGCGCCCUGGCACAUGGCUGUUCAACUUCCAACAGGUGAGCUCGAAUGCCAUGAAACCUGAUCUUGAC
rnacentral:lncRNA from 1 species